rnacentral:rRNA from 1 species
CACAUGCAAGUCGAGCGAAGCACUUAUCACUGAUUACUUCGGUAUGAUGAGAUUUGUGACUGAGCGGCGGACGGGUGAGUAACGCGUGGGAAACCUGCCCUGAUCCGGGGGAUAACAGUUGGAAACGACUACUAAUACCGCAUAAGCGCACAGAAUCGCAUGAUUCAGUGUGAAAAACUCCGGUGGAUCAGGAUGGUCCCGCGUCCGAUUAGCCAGUUGGCGGGGUAACGGCCCACCAAAGCGACGAUCGGUAGCCGACCUGAGAGGGUGACCGGCCACAUUGGGACUGAGACACGGCCCAAACUCCUACGGGAGGCAGCAGUGGGGAAUAUUGCACAAUGGGCGAAAGCCUGAUGCAGCGACGCCGCGUGAGUGAAGAAGUAUUUCGGUAUGUAAAGCUCUAUCAGCAGGGAAGAAAAUGACGGUACCUGCACAAGAAGCCCCGGCUAACUACGUGCCAGCAGCCGCGGUAAUACGUAGGGGGCAAGCGUUAUCCGGAUUUACUGGGUGUAAAGGGAGCGUAGAUGGAAUGGCAAGUCAGAUGUGAAAGGCAUGGGCUCAACUCGUGGACUGCAUUUGAAACUGUCAAUCUGGAGUGUCGGAGGGGCAAGCGGAAUUCCUGGUGUAGCGGUGAAAUGCGUAGAUAUCAGGAGGAACACCGGUGGCGAAGGCGGCUUGCUGGACGAUUACUGACAUUGAGGCUCGAAAGCGUGGGGAGCAAACAGGAUUAGAUACCCUGGUAGUCCACGCGGUAAACGAUGAAUACUAGGUGCUGGGUGCCACAGGCAUUCGGUGCCGCCGCUAACGCAUUAAGUAUUCCACCUGGGGAGUACGUUCGCAAGAAUGAAACUCAAAGGAAUUGACGGGGACCCGCACAAGCGGUGGAGCAUUGUGGUUUAAUUCGAAGCAACGCGAAGAACCUUACCAAGUUCUUGACAUCUCCCUGACCGUCCUGGAAACAGGACUUCUCUUCGGAGCAGGGAUGACAGGUGGUGCAUGGUUGUCGUCAGCUCGUGUCGUGAGAUGUUGGGUUAACGUCCCGCAACGAGCGCAACCCUUAUGUUCAGUAGCCAGCGGUUCGGCCGGGCACUCUGGGCAGACUGCCAGGGAUAACCUGGAGGAAGGCGGGGAUGACGUCAAAUCAUCAUGCCCCUUAUGAUUUGGGCUACACACGUGCUACAAUGGCGUUUAACAGAGGGAAGCAAACCCGCGAGGGGGAGCCAAUCCAAAAACAACGUCCCAGUUCGGACUGUAGUCUGCAACCCGACUACACGAAGCUGGAAUCGCUAGUAAUCGCGAAUCAGAAUGUCGCGGUGAAUACGUUCCCGGGUCUUGUACACACCGCCCGUCACACCAUGGGAGUCGAUAACGCCCGAAGCCGGUGACUCAACCGCAAGGAGAGAGCCGUCGAAGGCGG